rnacentral:rRNA from 1 species
AGUUUUGAGCUAAAUAUAUUUAUAAUAUUAGUUAUUUAUGAAGGUGUUGUAAAAUCUUUAUUUAAAAUUAUAUUUAGGGGUGACAGGCCUUUCAAAAACUAAGAUAUCUUGAAUCUAAUUAAAAGUAUGUAGUACAAUUAACACAACUAUUAAGUGAUUAGGCUUUAUAGAAUUAUUAACUUAUAAGAUUUUAUUUACUAUAAUUUAAUAAUUAAGUACAUAAAUAUAUUAAUAUUCAUAUAUUAUAGUUUAUAAAAGAGUAAUUAGAUAGAUUUAAGUUCAUAUUUCUUAUAAUAAUGUUAAUAUUAGUAUUAAGUUUAUAUUUAUAUGAUGAACUCGGCAAAAAUAUUUCUCAACUGUUUAUCAAAAACAUAACUAUGUGAAUGAAUACAUAGCGGUUUCUGCUCAA